rnacentral:rRNA from 1 species
CCUACGGGCGGCAGCAGUGAGGAAUAUUGGUCAAUGGACGAGAGUCUGAACCAGCCAAGCAGCGUGAAGGAUGAAUGCCCUAUGGGUUGUAAACUUCUUUUGUAAAGGAAUAAAACGAGGCACGUGUGCCUUUUUGCAUGUACUUUAAGAAUAAGGAUCGGCUAACUCCGUGCCAGCAGCCGCGGUAAUACGGAGGAUCCGAGCGUUAUCCGGAUUUAUUGGGUUUAAAGGGUGCGUAGGCGGCCUUGUAAGUCAGCGGUGAAAGGCUGGGGCCCAACCCCGGGAUUGCCGUUGAAACUGGAAGGCUUGAGUAUGUGAGAGGCAGGCGGAAUGCGUGGUGUAGCGGUGAAAUGCUUAGAUAUCACGCAGAACCCCGAUUGCGAAGGCAGCCUGCCAGGCCAUGACUGACGCUGAGGCACGAAAGCGUGGGGAUCGAACAGGAUUAGAUACCCGAGUAGUC